GAUGAACGCUGGCGGCGUGCCUAAUACAUGCAAGUCGAGCGAAGCGGGGACGGGUGAGUAAUACGUGGAAAACCUCCUAUACGACUGGGACAACUUUGGGAAACCUGAGCAAACCCCGAUACUGAUAGAUGGAUACUCGCUGCAUUAGCUAGUUGGUAAGGUAACGGCUUACCAAGGCAACGAUGCAUAGCCGACCUGAGAGGGUGAUCGGCCACACUGGAACUGAGACACGGUCCAGACUCCUACGGGAGGCAGCAGUAGGGAAUCUUCCGCAAUGGGCGAAAGCCUGACGGAGCAACGCCGCGUGAGUGAAGAAGGUCUUCGGAUCGUAAAACUCUUUUAUUAGGGAAGCGGUACCUAAUCAGAAAGCCACGGCUAACUACGUGCCAGCAGCCGCGGUAAUAC
rnacentral:rRNA from 1 species